rnacentral:lncRNA from 1 species
UCCCAUCCAUUUUUUCCAUCCAUUUAUGGGAUUUCCAUCCAUUUUUCCCAUCCAUUUUAUGGGGUUCCCAUCCAUUUAUGGGGUUCCCAUCCAUUUUUUCCAUCCAUUUUAUGGGAUUCCCACACAUUUCAUGUGGUUUCCAUCCUUUCCAUGGGGUUCCCAUCCAUUUAUGGGGUUCCCAUCCAUUUGUAGGGUUCCCAUCCAUUUUAUGGGAUUUCCCUUCAAUUCAUGGGGUUCCCAUACAUUUAAUGGAGUUUCCACCAAUUUUAUGGGGUUCCCAUCCAUUUUAUGGGGUUUCCAUCAAUCUCAUGGGGUUCCAAUCCAUUCCAUGGGGUUCCCAUUCAUUUAUGGGAUUUUCAUCCAUUUUUUCCAUCCAUUUAUGGGGUUCCCAUCUAUUUUUUCAAUCCACUUUAUGGGGUUCCCAUCCAUUUAUGGGGUUCCCACCCAUUUUUUCCAUCCAUUUAUGGGGUUCCCACCCAUUUUUUCCAUCCAUUUAAUGGGGUUCCCAUCCAUUUAUGGGAUUCCCAUCCAUUUAUGGAGUUCCCAUCUAUUUUAUGGGGUUUCCAUCCAUUUUAUGGGAUUUCCCUUUAAUUCAUGGGGCUCCCAUGCAUUUAUGGGGUUCCAAUCCAUUUAUAGGGUUCCCACUCAUUUAUGGGGUUCCCACCCAUUUAUGGGGUUCCCAUCCAUUUAUGGGGUCCCCAUCCAUUUUUCCCAUCCAUUUUAUGGGGUUCCUAUCCAUUUCUUCCAUCCAUUCCAUGGGGUUUCCAUCCAUUUUAUGGGUUUUUCACCAAUUUUAUGGGGUUCCCAACCAUUUAUGGUGUUCCCAUCCAUUUUUUCCAUCCAUUUAUGGGGUUCCAAUCCAUUCCAUGGGGUUCCCAUCCAUUUUUUCCAUGCAUUUUAUGGGUUCCCAUCCAUUUUAUGGGGUUCCCAUCUAUUUAUGGGGUUCCCACACAUUUAUGGGGUUUCCACCAAUUUUAUGGGGUUCCCAUCCAUUUUUUUCCAUCCAUUUUAUGGGGUUCCUAUCCAUUUCUUCCAUCCAUUUAUGGGGUUCCCAUCCAUUUAUGGGGUUCCCAUCCAUUUUUCCCAUCCAUUUUAUGGGGUUCCUAUCCAUUUCUUCCAUCCAUUCCCCGGGGUUCCCAUCCAUUUAUGGGAUUCCCAUCCAUUUAUGGGGUUCCCAUCCAUUUUUUCCAUCCAUUUAUGGGAUUUCCAUCCAUUUUUCCCAUCCAUUUUAUGGGGUUCCCAUCCAU